rnacentral:rRNA from 1 species
CAAACGCUGGCGGCGUGUCUUAAGCAUGCAAGUCGAGCGGCAAGGGCAGCAAUGCCCCUAGAGCGGCGGACUGGUGAGUAACGCGUGGGUGAUCUACCUUGGGCAUGGGGAUAGCCAUUAGAAAUAGUGGGUAAUACCGAAUAUGUUCGUUACCGUGAGGGUAACGAGGAAAGGCGCUACGGCGCCGGCCUGGAGAUGAGCUUGCGUCCGAUUAGCUAGUUGGUGAGGUAAUGGCUCACCAAGGCGAUGAUCGGUAGCCGGCCUGAGAGGGUGUACGGCCACACUGGGGCUGAGAUACGGCCCAGACUCCUACGGGAGGCAGCAGCUAAGAAUAUUCCGCAAUGGACGAAAGUCUGACGGAGCGACGCCGCGUGGAUGAUGAAGGCCGAAAGGUUGUAAAGUCCUUUUGCUGGGGAAGAAUAAGCGUGGGAGGGAAUGCCCGCGUGAUGACAUGAACCGGCGAAUAAGCCCCGGCUAACUACGUGCCAGCAGCCGCGGUAACACGUAGGGGGCGAGCGUUGUUCGGAAUUACUGGGCGUAAAGGGCAUGUAGGCGGCUUUGUAAGCUUGGCGUGAAAUUCCACGGCUUAACCGUGGGAAUGCGUUGAGAACUGCGAGGCUUGAGUGACGGAGAGGGAGCUAGAAUUCCUGGUGUAGGGGUGGAAUCUGUAGAGAUCAGGAAGAAUACCAAUGGCGAAGGCAAGCUCCUGGCCGAUGACUGACGCUGAGGUGCGAAAGUGUGGGGAUCAAACAGGAUUAGAUACCCUGGUAGUCCACACUGUAAACGAUGUACACUAGGUGCUGGGGCGGAUGCUUCAGUGCCGUAGCUAACGUGAUAAGUGUACC